GGAUUGUGGUUCAGCGGUAGAAUACUCACCUAUCACAUGCAAGGCCCUGGGUUCGAUCCUCAGCACCA
rnacentral:tRNA from 1 species